rnacentral:tRNA from 1 species
GCAUUGGUGGCUCAGUGGUAGAACUCUCUCCUUCCAGGAGGGAGACCAGGGUUCAAUUCCUGGCCAAUGCC